GUCUGACUGGUCUUUCAGAGACUUCUUUUUUUCCCCUAAUAUCCAACCCAAACUUCCCCUCACACAACUUAAAGCCAUCACUUCUAAUCCUAUUGCGGUUUCUGCUCCCUGAUGAUCUCAGGCUGAAUUCUGAGCAGCAGAUGAAAGUGAAAGGCACCAUGUCCCACGACCACCCAGUCUCCUUGCCCACCCCAGCCCAUUUUGGAAUGCCAGAACAAACACUCCUUAAACAAUAAAACCUCUCUGGCUGAUGCAUGGCAGUGAGAUGCUGUGGGGCAUGGCAUAAGGCUGGGGCAGCAAAGUUCACUCACCUGGGAGCCCAUGUCAGGAAACAGGUGCCUUGUUGAACCCCUCAAAGAGGCAAAUGGGAGGCAUAUGUGCACUGAGCAUAGAAACUGCUCUGCCAUGCCCUUACUCAGCUAAAAAUGUUCCUGCUAAUCCUCAGCUUCCUGCUCCGGAUGGUGACUUCAGAGCCGGCAUCAGCAGCCAGGGCAGCAACAAACUGCACUCAGGCUGGAGGGCACCGGGGCCAUCCAUCCUGCAGGGCUUUAAGCCAAGGCAGAUGUCAGCAGCGGAAGCAGCGGCAGGAGAUGAAGCACGAAUAUGUAACAUGAGGUAAUCUUUUGCAGUGUUGACAAGCUGGGGUUGUCUAAUAAUUGGGUUAAGUAAUUAAUGCCCAGUCAACACCUAACAUAAUGAGCUGUUCAGGUUUCUGGUAGCUUGUUUCAUGGCUCAUAUUCUUGGUAUGAACGUUGUGACCUCUCUGCCUCCGCAAAGGUUAUUCUGUGUUGGAUCCUAGCACAGCUUCUUGUCACAGACCUCCUGGUUGUCCUCUGUUAUGCUCUCCACAUCACAGCAGAGCUCGACCUGGCCCUACAGUGCAAUUCUGAUCUGGAUUUGAAACUCCUAAAAUCCUCAGGAUAGAGGGACUGAAAAUCAACUCAUUCUUUUGGAUUUCCGCACUGUAACUCCAUCUUCAAGGGACAAAGAAUGCUACAACAGAGGAAUGAUUAGGACAUUAUCUGGCAGUGCUCCUAGUAAUGAAUUAUCAUCAUUUCUGACCAUAUAGGGUAUUAAAGCUCACAGUCCAAAACUGUUUUAUUAAGAAAGCAGGAUGAAAUCUAUAUUUUGCAUGUGAUAAAACUUUACAUUUGCAAGGUCUGAAAUGAACUUGUGGCUUUGUAUUGUAUUGAGAAAUUGCUUCUUGCAUUUUAACUUUUGUUUUGCAAAAUGCAAGGAAAGCACUUUUCAAAUCCUCAUCUAAUGCUCCUGGAGAAUUGAAAGCACUUAAAGAAGAAAAAGUGAGCUACAUAGGGCUGAUAUAACUUCUUGUUUGUAGCAGUAAAAGCAAAACUGGAUGGAUUCUGAUUUCCAGGAACGAUGCUUCAUUUUAUGAAAGAUAGAUGUAUAAAAUUGGGUACUUCCUGCUUUAGAAACAAAGCACAGUAAAGCUAAAACUGGAGCACUAAGCUAAGGUCUACUCUUUAUGGCAAAAGUGGGUUUGUUGUCCUACUUGUCAAAGCAAGAUUAAGAACUGCUGCGCUGUAGAUGCUUGGUUAUGAUAAGAUUGUGUCUGACUUACAACUAGAUGAAGAGUAUGAGAACUGAUCUCCUCUGUCCAAAGCCCGUAUUAAAGGUACUGGAAAUGGAAAAAAGAUUGUUUCCCCAUUUCAGGCAUGCAGUGCAUACAAAAUAAGUUUUCAUAGCAUCUAUGGAUGUAGAAGCUUGUUCAGCUAUAUAGCCAUUCUUUAAUAUCCUUCCUCAAGUGUCCUCAGAGGACAUUCUUCCUCCUGAGAUGGGAUUCUGUGAUUUUUUUCUUUUUCUUUGGUUGAAGGCUGACAUCUGGGAAUACAUGACAAACUCUUGUACUGCAUGGAUGUUCCAUUGACGCUAGGAGAUCAUCGUCAGCACAGUGCCUGUUACCAUAUCUCCUAGGUUUUGAACAUUCUAAGCUGGUCUGGAUACGGUUUGAACGUGCAGAAAACCUCAGGGUUCGUACAGCUCACUUAGCCAGGACACUGGGCAGUGUCAGCUUCAUCCCAGGACUCUGCUGCAAGCUUCCCAGCCUUGUGCAGCAUGUCUGAAGAUUCUUUCAAAUUUGUACAUGCUGACGUAAACAGAGCCCCUCACUGCAGAAAUAAAUACACAGAGAAUUUCUGGCAGUGUUUGAAAUGAUACAUAGUUUUGUGGUGACCUCUCCAUAGCAAGCAUAAAGCUCUAUCUCUGCUUGGCACCAAAUGAAAUGUUUGGCAUGACUUGAAACACCCUGAGAACCAAAGUCACCUCUUAAGGUCCUUGUCCCCACUGAUCCCUGCAGAAGCAGCGAAAAAGCAUCAUUGCUCUCUUUUUGAUCCAAGAGAAAUUGUACUAUGGAAAGGUUAAGUGAGUUGCUCAGGGCCACAUAGGAAAUCAAUAGCAGAACAGAACCUUCGAGCCAUAAUAACUAAACGUCCUGGACACACCCUUAAAGAAACGUAAAGGAGGUUUCAUCCUACUGCCAAGCAGGUGCUGAGCUUCCCCAGCCACACACUGAGCGCCCAGGGCUGUUGUGCAGCUCCAGCCCCACGCUGCAUCCACAGCUCUCCCACCUGAUGCCGCCCUGUGCUUUCAGCUCAUUUCCAGGAGUGCAGAAAAAAAAGAAACCCCUGGAGUUCAGCAGCAGUUUGACAGCAGCUGACCUUUAUAUAAUAAGCAAUGUUCCUCAGCAGUGUGCAUCAGCUUGCAUCAGUUUACAUUUAUUUUGCUUGUCUCUGGUAAGCAUCCUAAGUAAAACCAAUUGGAAGGGACAGGUGGGAUCUCAGCAUCUUGAAGUAAUCUGUAAGGAGCAGGCAGCAGAGUGUCAUUAGACAGCAGUUUCUACGAAUGGCUUUGAGGAAUUUGUCUGUGCUAAAGACUGUUCUCAUGUCAGAGGAUUGAGAAGGGCUCGGCUAGCAGGACUUUGUUUGUCUUGGAAGAUCUUUGGGGAAUCACAGGGUGAGUUGGAAGGGGCUGAUAGAAAUGACCCCAUCCCAUGAGCCCCUGGGAAGCUGCUGCUCUUCCAGCAUCCCUCUAUCUCUUCUGGUUAACUCCCUGUUAAAAAGUGAUGUCAUGGACUCAUCCUCACUGCAUUUAUCAAAGUAUGCAGCAUGUUUCUUACUGUAAAAAUGAUGAAAUGCCACCAAAAUUGGGGCAUGAUUUAGGGACAUAAAUGAAACUUGAAAACUUCAGCAAGGUGCUCUGCAUGCACAUGCUGGCUGACUGAGACACUGGACACUAAACAGUCUUUUAAAAGUCCUUAAAGGUGAAUUUGCCAGCAGCAGACCUUUGUGUGCUUAGCGUACUGCAGGCACCUGGAGCAGAGGCAGUGCCUGUGCUGAUGGAAGACAUCCACAUGUGGCACUCAGAGCUGUUUUGAUGAGACCAAAGUAUGUGCAGGCUAUGCUUAGCCUCCACAGUUCAAGGAGGUCAAAAACAUUCAUCAGACCUGGUCUUGAAACAUGGAGCAUUGAGAAGAAG